rnacentral:rRNA from 1 species
GAGUUUGAUCCUGGCUCAGGACGAACGCUGGCGGCAUGCCUAACACAUGCAAGUCGAACGGAGUUGUUAUUCAGAAGUUCUUCGGGAUGGAAGGAUAAGAACUUAGUGGCGGACGGGUGAGUAACGCGUGGGUAACCUGCCCUUUUGUGGGGAACAACUUCGAGAAAUCGGAGCUAAUACCGCAUAAUAAUAGAGGAUCGCAUGAUUCUUUAAGGAAAGAUGGCCUCUGAAGAUGCUAUCGCAAAAGGAUGGACCCGCGUCUGAUUAGCUAGUUGGAAGGGUAACGGCCUACCAAGGCAACGAUCAGUAGCCGGCCUGAGAGGGUGAACGGCCACAUUGGGACUGAGACACGGCCCAAACUCCUACGGGAGGCAGCAGUGGGGAAUCUUCCGCAAUGGGCGAAAGCCUGACGGAGCAAUGCCGCGUGAGUGAAGAAGGCCUUCGGGUUGUAAAACUCUGUCCUUAUCGAAGAGAGGUAGGUAUGUGAAUAAUGUACCUAUAGGACGGUAGAUAAGGAGGAAGCCCCGGCUAACUACGUGCCAGCAGCCGCGGUAAUACGUAGGGGGCGAGCGUUGUCCGGAAUCACUGGGCGUAAAGGGCGCGUAGGCGGUUUAAUAAGUCAGUGGUGAAAACUGAGGGCUCAACCCUCAGCCUGCCACUGAUACUGUUAGACUUGAGUAUGG